CCUACGGGAGGCAGCAGUAAGGAAUAUUGGUCAAUGGACGAAAGUCUGAACCAGCCAUGCCGCGUGAAGGAUUAAGGCCCUCUGGGUUGUAAACUUCUUUUAUCUGGGACGAAAAAAGGGUAUUCUUACUCACUUGACGGUACCAGAGGAAUAAGCACCGGCUAACUCCGUGCCAGCAGCCGCGGUAAUACGGAGGGUGCAAGCGUUAUCCGGAUUUACUGGGUUUAAAGGGUGCGUAGGUGGGCUUGUAAGUCAGUGGUGAAAUCUCCGGGCUUAACCCGGAAACUGCCAUUGAUACUAUAGGUCUUGAAUUAUCUGGAGGUAAGCGGAAUAUGUCAUGUAGCGGUGAAAUGCUUAGAUAUGACAUAGAACACCAAUUGCGAAGGCAGCUUACUACGGAUAUAUUGACACUGAGGCACGAAAGCGUGGGGAUCAAACAGGAUUAGAUACCCUGGUAGUCCACGCCCUAAACGAUGGAUACUCGACAUCAGCGAUACACUGUUGGUGUCUGAGCGAAAGCAUUAAGUAUCCACCUGGAAGUACGAUCGCAGAUUGAAACUCAAAUGAAUUGACGGCUGAGAGNGCGAGACGACACGAGGGAGGAGG
rnacentral:rRNA from 1 species